AAAACGGAGAGAAAAAGAAGAAGAAGGAGAAAAGGAGGGAGAAGGAAGGGAGGAAGAGAGAGAGAGAUCAAACCUUGACCGUUUUGGGUGAUUCAAAAGCCUAAAUCGCUUAGAAUCUCGCCCUCUUUCAUAAUUCAAGCUUAGUUUUAAGUGGGGAGCUUUGUGUGGGGAGAUAUUGGCUCUCAAAAAUUCGGCCCUUUGGUGAAAAUUGGGAUUUUGAGAGUUUCUACCUCUAUUGAAGCUUGAGAAGCCAUCAAUCCUUGGUUGUGUGACCAUUGGUGGUUGAGACAUUUGGACCAACCGUGAGUGAUCAACCAUUGCAGCAAGCUAUGGAGCUUGAAUAGCUCCUUGGAAUUGGUAAGGAUGCUGCAGGAGCCUCUGGUGGCAAGUGGCCAUAUCUGGAUUAUGCAUGAAAUGUGGCAUUUCUUUUGAGUUUAUGCAUGACUUUUGUAGUUGACAUGUAUAGGAUUUUAUUUUGAAAGCCCAUGGUCAUUUGUAUAUCUUGAUUUCAUUGGAUGAACUUAGCCUAUGCUCAUGCCUUUGGUUACACCUUUUGUUGAUGGGAGCCAAGGGAAUGAUCAUAGUGUUUUGUAAGCUAAGUUCCAGGAUUUGUAAAGAAUAUGUAAUGUAAAUGA